rnacentral:rRNA from 1 species
CGUGGGUGAUCUGCCCUGGACUCUGGGAUAAGCCUGGGAAACUGGGUCUAAUACCGGAUAUGACCUUACAUCGCAUGGUGUUUGGUGGAAAGCUUUUGCGGUUCAGGAUGGGCCCGCGGCCUAUCAGCUUGUUGGUGGGGGUAAUGGCCUACCAAGGCGACGACGGGUAGCCSACCUGAGAGGGGUGAUCGGCCACACUGGGACUGAGACACGGCCCAGACUCCUACGGGAGGCAGCAGUGGGGAAUAUUGCACAAUGGGCGCAAGCCUGAUGCAGCGACGCCGCGUGAGGGGAUGACGGCCUUCGGGUUGUAAACCUCUUUCACCAGGGACGAAGCGCAAGUGACGGUACCUGGAGAAGAAGCACCGGCCAACUACGUGCCAGCAGCCGCGGUAAUACGUAGGGUGCGAGCGUUGUCCGGAAUUACUGGGCGUAAAGAGCUCGUAGGCGGUUUGUCGCGUCGUCUGUGAAAUUCUGCAACUCAAUUGUAGGCGUGCAGGCGAUACGGGCAGACUUGAGUACUACAGGGGAGACUGGAAUUCCUGGUGUAGCGGUGAAAUGCGCAGAUAUCAGGAGGAACACCGGUGGCGAAGGCGGGUCUCUGGGUAGUAACUGACGCUGAGGAGCGAAAGCGUGGGUAGCGAACAGGAUUAGAUACCCUGGUAGUCCACGCCGUAAACGGUGGGUACUAGGUGUGGGGCUCAUUUCACGAGUUCCGUGCCGUAGCUAACGCAUUAAGUA